rnacentral:rRNA from 1 species
UGGGGAAUUGUUCACAAUGGGCGCAAGCCUGAUGACGCAACGCCGCGUGGGGGAUGAAGGUCUUCGGAUCGUAAACCCCUGUCGAAUGGGACGAAUGAUUCGCGCACUAACACCGCGCGGAAAUGACGGUACCGUUAAAGGAAGCCACGGCUAACUCUGUGCCAGCAGCCGCGGUAAUACAGAGGUGGCAAGCGUUGUUCGGAAUUACUGGGCGUAAAGGGCGCGUAGGCGGCCAUCUAAGUCAGACGUGAAAUCCCCCGGCUUAACCUGGGAACUGCGUCUGAUACUGGAAGGCUCGAGUUUGGGAGAGGGAUGUAGAAUUCCAGGUGUAGCGGUGAAAUGCGUAGAUAUCUGGAGGAAUACCGGUGGCGAAGGCGGCAUCCUGGACCAACACUGACGCUGAGGCGCGAAAGCUAGGGGAGCAAA